AUUGAACGCUGGCGGCAGGCUUAACACGUGCAAGUCGAGCGGGGGAAGGUAGCUUGCUACCGGACCUAGCGGCGGACGGGUGAGUAAUGCUUAGGAAUCUGCCUAUUAGUGGGGGACAACAUCUCGAAAGGGAUGCUAAUACCGCAUACGUCCUACGGGAGAAAGCAGGGGAUCUUUGGACCUUGCGCUAAUAGAUGAGCCUAAGUCGGAUUAGCUAGUUGGUGGGGUAAAGGCCUACCAAGGCGACGAUCUGUAGCGGGUCUGAGAGGAUGAUCCGCCACACUGGGACUGAGACACGGCCCAGACUCCUACGGGAGGCAGCAGUGGGGAAUAUUGGACAAUGGGGGGAACCCUGAUCCAGCCAUGCCGCGUGUGUGAAGAAGGCCUUAUGGUUGUAAAGCACUUUAAGCGAGGAGGAGGCUACUUUAGUUAAUACCUAGAGAUAGUGGUCGUUACUCGCAGAAUAAGCACCGGCUAACUCUGUGCCAGCCGCCGCCGUAA
rnacentral:rRNA from 1 species